AGAGAGCCUCGGCUAGGUGUGGAAACAGGAAGAGAACUAGAACUGGAAGUAAAGCAUUGAAGAUGUGACUGAAUUGCUGCAAUCUCAUGAUCAAAUUUGAAUGGAUGAGGAGUUGCUUUUUAGGGAUGAGCAAAGAAAGUGGUUUCUCGAGAUGGAAUCUACUGGUGAAGUUGCUGUGAACAUUGUUAAAAUGCCAAUAAAGGAUUUAGGAAUUACAGAAACCUGGUUGAUAAAGCAGUGCCAGGGUGUGAGAGAGUUGACUUCAAUUUUGAAAUAAGUUCCACUGGCUGGGUGUGGUGGCUCACACCUGCAAUCCCAGUACUUUAGGAGGCCGAGACUGGUAGAUCAUUUGAGGUCAGGAGUUCAAGACCAGCCUUGCCAACAUGGUGAAACCCCACCUCUACCAAAUUAGCCAGGUUGCUCCUUGAGGGCAGGACAGUUCUUAUGGCUUUAUCCGUUGCGUAAGCACAGAGAGGUCUGCGAGGUCAAAACUAUUGUCAUGAUAGCAAGAUGCCUGUCUUUUUCAUUUAUUCUCACGGUGUGCAGAGGCUACAUGAUGUGUGAUGACAUCCUCAUUGAUGUUAAUGAAUGGUGCUAUACUUGAAUUUUCUAAGGUGUCAUUAGGUAGGUUUAGCAAUUCUCCUGCCUCAGCCUCCUGCAUAACUGGGACUACAGGGAAGCACCAUUUUCCACAAAACUCUCAAGAAGGACUUGUUGCAACUGGAAAAGCAAUUAAAUGUGAAUCGUGAUCCAGGAGAAAGUAACAACUCACAUAACUCCCAAAUUAAAAGUUUUCCAAAGAUA
rnacentral:lncRNA from 1 species